rnacentral:rRNA from 1 species
AUUGGACGCUGGCGGAAUGCUUUACACAUGCAAGUCGAACGGCAGCACGGACUUCGGUCUGGUGGCGAGUGGCGAACGGAUGAGUAAUGUAUCGGAACGUGCCCAGUCGUGGGGGAUAACGUAGUGAAAAUUACGCUAAUACCGCAUACGAUCUAUGGAUGAAAGCGGGGGAUCGCAAGACCUCGCGCGAUUGGAGCGGCCGAUAUCAGAUUAGGUAGUUGGUGGGGUAAAGGCCCACCAAGCCAACGAUCUGUAGCUGGUCUGAGAGGACGACCAGCCACACUGGAACCGAGACACGGUCCAGACUCCUACGGGAGGCAGCAGUGGGGAAUUUUGGACAAUGGGCGAAAGCCUGAUCCAGCCAUUCCGCGUGCAGGAUGAAGGCCCUCGGGUUGUAAACUGCUUUUGUACAGAACGAAAAGGUUUCUACUAAUACUAGGAGCUCAUGACGGUACUGUAAGAAUAAGCACCGGCUAACUACGUGCCAGCCGCCGCCGUAA